UGCAGGCUUCAGGCACACCUCAUCAGCACAUGUAAUAUAUCUACUUCAGAAGCAGAGAGAAGUCCACUGGAGAUGGCCACAAACGCACUCCAGUGGCGAGAGCCAAUGAUCCGAUAAAGCUGCAAGAUGACCUGGGAAAUGCAUAAUUUUAAUGAAUAAGGAGGAAUGUGUUCACAAAGACCAGCUGCAGAUCAGGAAAAAAAUGGGCUGGAUUGAAAUGCAGCAUGAAUCACAAGAGAAGUUUAGAAGCACAAGAAGAUGAAUGUGUCCCUAGUGACUCAACAGAGAACAUCUGGGGAGGACCUUGAAGAAACACUUCUGGAGAGUAUGUGUCUUUAACUUGUGACAAAAAGCACUGAAGUUGUGAUCAACAGAAAGGACUUUAAGGAAGAUCCUCAUGAAGAAUCAAAAAAUCUAUGCAUAUCUGGCAUGCACAAAAGGACCUGUGUAUGUUUUGCCAGCAUGCACUGUGUCUUUAGCCCCCUCUUAAAUCUCUCAGGAACUUGAAUGGAUGUCUCGGUCUGGGCUCUCUGAAGUCAAAUUAUGCCUCUGUUUCCUUCUGGGAUUUCACCAGGAAGUGCUUCAAGUACCAAGCUGUAGGCUGAUAGUAUGAGAUUUGCAGACCUGAGAAAUUCAGAUAAGCCCAUACAAACGUUGAACCUCCAAACCUUUUGAAGAUUGCCUGUCAUGAAGUGCAACUCCACUGCUGUCUGCAGACAGCACUGAAGCAUGAAUGGAAACAGAUCUCUGUUUCAAAAAGCUCCUGUGGGUGGCUUAAGGGCAAAACGAUAAAUAAAAUCACAUAUGGAAAUAUAAUGCCUUUCAGAGAAGUGCUCUGUCCCUUUGCAUACUUCAGUAUUUCUCUGCAUCCAUGAUGGUAACAGGAGCCCAUAAAAUCAAUUUAUUUCCUGCUUGCUCCAGCAGUUUCAUUGUGGUUGAUCCAAUGAAGUGAUGUGUUCUUUAAACAUUCAUUUCUCUAUUUAUACAGUCAAGCUGUUGUUGUUUACCAUAUUCCCAUUAAGCUGGUCAGGGGUGUAUAUUUGAGAGAAAAUCCAGCAGUAGCCAGAAGCUGUUGAAGUAGAAAGAAGACUAAACAACCAACAGGCAUUGAGAAGGAUGUAGUGUGGAGCAGAGCCUGGCCCAAGAGCCUAUGCCAAUAUUUCUGUGUCUGUGACUAAAGUCGUAGAGUAUCAAGAGACCUGCGUCAAGCAUUAGAUCACCACCCUGUUUUUAACAACAACAAAUAGCAGAUAAUACAGAAAAGUAUACAAGGACUGGGAAAGUUUAGGGUGGUGCUUCUUCUUGCAAACAUUCCCAGAUUCUAAUAUUCUUUGAGCAAGUUUUUUCCCAAACUACAUGUGUCAUGGACAUUACAUAGACAUGUUUAAGUUUCCUAUAGACUUUCUUCAGGAAAAGAUAGGGUUCAGAAGCCUAUUUCUAUGAGAAAAAAAUCAUGUGGCAAUUAAUUCUGCAAAAUCUCAAAUUGCCCACACUUAUACAUCACCUACAACUACAUAUUUUUCAGAGGAAAAGAAUAACGGUUAUAUUUUUUUCAUAAACUCCUUGUUAAAAAUUUUUGUUUGCUGCCUUUCUUGUUAUGAAGAAAGGACUGAUUAUUCAUUAUUCAUUAUCUGUUUCCCAUAAAUGUCACAAUUAUACUGACCCAAGAUGGAAGAGAAGAUUUCAUGUAGACCUAAACAACUUUCCAAUACCUAAGAUGAUGUCACUGAGAAAACUGUCAGGCUCUUCACAGUGUGAGGACAAGAUGAUGGACAUAUGUUGAAGCAAGAAAUUGUUAGAUUAAUUAAAAAGAUAAAUUUUUACACCAUGAGGAUGGUACAGCCAUGUAAGAUGUUGCCCAGAGAGGGACAGUUAACAUCUUUGGAGGUUUUUCAGAUAAACUCCAGAGGUCACCCUAUUAAAAAAUAGGUGGUUGGACUAGAGGGCCCCUGAGAUCUUUUCCUAACUGAGUGUCUUGGUUUGGAAAGACAGGUAUCUGUCAGGGAAAACUGGAGUUUCCCUUGGAAUGCAGAAUGUAAAACCCCCUCCCUCCAGAAUUAUUACAAUUUUGCAAUUAGGAGCUUUCAGGCAAAAAUAUGGGAGUAGGAAUAACAGCCCUUUACUAGGAAUAUUAAAAAAUACAAAUGCAGUAAUACAAAAAAAAAAAAAAAAAAAAAAAACAACAAAAAACCAAAAAAAACACACAAACAAGCAAACAAACAAAAUCCUAGAAAACUCUGACAGAGUCAGGAAUAUGACAUGACACCCUGUUGGCCAGGGUGUUGGAAACAGUCCAAAUAAAUCCUCCUGGAGUGACAGAUGUGGUUCUGUUGGAGUAGAGAUGAUCCUGUAGACAGGUUCAGUGGUGGUGAGAUGAGUCAGGUCUUCAUCUGAGAAUCCAGUGGAAAAGAGGGUGACUGGGGUCCCUGUGUCCCUGUUUUUAUCUGGGUAGGGAAUGGUUGGCUCCUCCCCACUGGGUAGAGCAUCUCACAAUGGGAUGGUGUAAUGUCUCAUGUCAUUGGUGAGCCUUAAUGGCCCAUUAACAGAAGAUAUCCCCUGCAGGGUGGACAAAGUUGAUGAAAGAGAUAAGAAACACUGCCCCACCUGAUUUUAACAGCUGGUCUAUUAUCAGAAGGCAUCCACCCUCCUCCCCCCUGGAGUUACAAGAGAUAAAGAAAAAAGAAACCAUUCCCCAACUGCUUUCUACAGAUGAAAUAGAAUACACAUUUUUUUUGGUUACAUAACCCAAGACACUGAGUUUCCUAUGAUCUUAUGUUGUAUUCCCUGUCACAUUUAUCUUUCCCAAAGAGAAAAGUUCUCUCUUAUAUAGAAAACAUUUAUUACUAUUGAAUAUUUUUGUUGCACUUCUACCUUUUCUUGUGUCAUUUUUGAUAAAGGGCAACCAGAACUGCACAUGCUUUUCAGUGUGCACUGAAGGUGUUCAGUGCUUUGUUCCUUAAUCCCUCAGUAGUAUCUUUGUCCUGUUUUUUUUGCCUUUUGGACUGAACAUCAGUAUGCAGUAAAUAUUUAUUAUACAAUAAUCUAACAUCUGUGGGUAGAUGAAUACCUGUCAAGUGGUCACAGCAAAUUUGCAACCCAUCAUUUUGUAUAUACAAUUAAGUCUGGUCCUACUCAUUGACCCAGAUUUUCAUCUGUUGUUUAAUGUCUAAUAUUAUUAACUCUACUUGCAGUACCUUCAGUCAGGAUAGCUUUGAACUAAUCUGAUUUUUUUUACAUCAUAUGAGAGUUUCAUUGUAGAAUAAACAGUAAUGUAAAUUAUAUAUUUCUUUCAUACUAUGUUUUUGCCUAUCUUCAAGGCACCUUAAAACCUGUUAGAGAAUGAAAAUUCACUGUCAUAGACAAUGAAGAUGGGAAGUUCCGUUACUAUUGUCCAUGCUUUUCUUGUUUUAUUAUUUUUUCCACUGGUAUUAUUUUAGACCUAAUUUUCUUGUUCUUCUAGCUGGGCAUGGCUUCCAUUUCUAAAUUAUCAGCGUAUUAGCCUUCUGUACUCUAAUGUUUAGCCUUGACGUUGUUGUUCUGUUCCUUUCAAUGUUAUUUGGCUUGAUAGAAUGUUUAUUCAAAGUCUCUGCUGCCAUGUCUCUAUAACUUUUGGCUAUUCUUAAUAAAUUUCCAUUAAUAAAGCUUCUAGGGCAUAACUAAUAAUUAUGUAUUAGAACAAUUCACACAUAUCUCAGGAGGAACGUGGGAAUUGGUUCUCCUUUUGAGUAUUCUCUAAUUUGCUGUCCAUAGGAGAAAUCAAUUAUGGCAUGGAAAACCACAGCCUUUGUGUGUGGUUUUCAUGACAUCUACUUAACCCAUGCAACAGACUGAGUCCCCUCUUCAGCUUUCACAGUCUCUCCACUUCUGUGGUUGUGUGGCAAGUUGUACAUACUUAUUAUGGGACCUCUGAUGGGUUGGGGAGGGAAAGGUUGCAAGAUUUAAGCUACUGGGGAAAAUUGUCUGCUUUUCUAAAGGAAGGAUUUACCAUGUCAGAAGUUCUUGCAUCAUUUUUAUCCUUCAGUGUUUCCCGGUGCCCUAUUAAUGUGGCAUUCUUUCAUUAAAGGCUUAUUUUUAAGGUUGGUAAUGUAACAUGUCAAGCAAUCUGUAAACACUUUAUUUCUGCAUUAUCAUUGCUUUAAUUGUUUUAAUAAGAGUAAGGCUGACAUUUGGGUUUGUUUUUUCCUGACUGAGGUUCUGAAAACCAUUCAGCUAUUUCAGAGGCCAGAAUUUUGACACCAAAGGGGAAACCCCAAAGCCAGAAAGCCUCAAGAAAAAAACACUAAUCAGUAGGGAAAGGGAAAAACGCUUCUUAAGUUUCAUUUACAUAAAUUACAUCUUUGCCCAGAAAGCUUUUUCCGAUGUUUUCAGUUAUGUGUUUGUAGUAUCUUUGUAUUCUGGCUGUGGAAAAACAGUCAUUACUGGAUAUGCAGGUACAAAUGAUGUUCAUGGAAUGGGAAAAAAUGUAGAAGAGAAAUCCUCAGGCACUAGUGUAUUCAUAGUACAGAAAUGUAGAAUAUUAGCUAUCACUUUGUCCUGAACUGUAAAAACUAUCCAGAUGAUAAGAUGAAAAGGAUGACCACAGCCAUAUGUCUUUGAUUCCAAACCACAAGAAGUAUCCACCUACCAGGGAAAGUUUGAGACCAUGAGCAAAUCUCGGAAAUGAUGUGAAGUUUCUUAGGUCAGAACCUUCUAAGUGCUGCAGUGCUGCAUUACUUGCAUCUAUGGACUAGGUUUUACAUAUCAGAUAGCUUUUAUGAAUAGUCUUUUCAGCCACUUCUAUGGAGACUUUACUGAAAAUGUGUUACCCAAUAAGAGACCUGUGAAAGGGGAAGGUCAUCUGGCUCCUAUUAGUGACUGAGGCCACCUCUGUGUUGAAAUCCAAAGGUGUAAAGGCAAGAAAAGAAACUUAAGACUUUUAGAUUGUGGUAUGCUGUUACCAAAGGAUAGAAGGCAGUGAAACAUAGUCUUGGAUUCAGGCCUGUUCAAGAGCUGGCUUCACUGAAUGCUAAGGCAGUACAUGUGAGCCAGUUCUAUACUGGUUGGAAAGAAAGGUAAGGGGCAUUUAUCCCUCCAUGCAAAAAGGGCCUUUGACUAGGAAUUAUUCUUGCCCCAUCCCCAGUCUGCAAUGGAAGUGGUUUAGGAUGCUGGCUGAAAGGGUUAGAGAGGGAUAAAUACCACUGUAGAUGGCAGUGGAGAAAAAACAUGAAGAGAUCUCUGUGCUAGGAAUGAAUAAGAUAUCAUUUUUAUGAAACGGAUAAAGCACUUGGCAGAAACAUCUGCAUGUGGUUAACUGAUCCUGAAAGAGAAACCUGUCUGUUUCCUGUACUGUCAGCUACCUAUUCAAAAUAAACUUAUCCUUGGGAGUUGAAAAGCAGAGAUAGAAGGUUAUCAUGAGACAACCAUUGCACAUCUGAUAACCACAGGUCAUGAGGAAACACUGGCCAGCCAAGUGUGCUGGCACUCGUGCUGCAAAGACUGUCAGCAGCACUCUAUCCAUUCACAUCCAUGCACUUGUGCUAGGGUCAAUCCCCACAGCACACUCUUCUGAACUUACUGCCCGAGUCAUGUCAAUUUAAAUAGGUUUAGCAUCUAUUCCAAUAACUGCAAACCACCCUGGAAGUUUGCUACUGAUCUCAUUUGGCUAUUGUGUGCAACUAAGCUGUUUAGGCUUCUUAGUUUUUUGUUUUGUUUUUGUUUUGUUUUAUUUUGUGGGUUUUUGGGGGUUGUUUUGUUUUUGUUUUGGUUUGGGUUUGUUUUAUUUGUUUGUUUUUGGGUUUUUGGUUUUGGGGUUUUUUUUGUUUGUUUGUUUGGUUUUUGUUGUUGUUGUUGUUGUUGUUGUUUUUGUUUUAACUUUUGAUUUAUCAGGAGAGGUAAUUUAAACAAGUUAGCUUUUAUUUCUGUUUAUUUUUUCAUGUCUUUUCCUUCUCCAAAUUUAGUGAGGUUGUACAGGUGAUCCUGUGGGUCUGUCAAUGAGCUUGACAAUGUAAACAUUUUGAUUAAAUCCAGUCUGUUUUAACCAAGUGUAUCAGGCACUUCUGCCUUCUGUGGUCUGUUGCAAAGUAUAACAAUUGAUCCAGUUCCUGCUAAAUAUCUAAGCCCAGAUCACACUUUGAAGUGAAUGGCAUGAUAUCUAUUUUUUGGUGGAAGCAGAUUCAAGCAAAAUUACUUUUUACAGAAAAACACAGACAAUUUUGUAUUUUUGUCUUUGCAGUGGCAGACACAACUUGAUCGGUAACAUUCCCAAAUCCUUCAGAAAACCCUCCAAUUAUAGAACAGUUCAAAAGUGUCUGGGUUAAUUUCAGUAAUAUUGCAAUAUGGAGGACAGUGAGACAGCAGAUUUGCCAGCCAUGAAUCUAUUCAGCAGUUUAUAACAGGUCUGCUUAUGGACACCUGACCUCAUGUUCACUGUAAACAUUGGGCUACAUUUAAUGAAGGAGGUAGGCCUGGCACAAAGAUGAGGGAUCCAAUGUGCCAGAAAUAUAUAACAUAGCCACCUAAGGCUAGCUAUAGUUGUCUGGGACCUUGCCCUUUUGUAUGCCUCCAGGAUAUAAAGAAGUGCUUGCUAAUAGAAGUGCUAAUAGACAGAUAUGGUUCUGGAGGAUCCUUAUGCAAAGUGUAAGUAUUAAUAACUGCUUUACAAAAGGAUCAAACUCUGCUGAAAGUUAUCUGGAAUUUCUUUCUCUUUUUUGUAAUGUGAAGCUCUAAUGUGAUAUAUACAGUUUUCUCUCAAAGUGUGUGACCCUGCCAUCCUCUCUCUCAUGGCAGGCACCAGGUCUGCUCACUGUCACCCUCUCUCUCUGAUAUGAUGAAUGUAGAACUGAUGCCUUCACAAUGGCUUAUCUUCAAAGUGGGAACUUCUCCCCUCCCACUCCACCCUGGUGCAUUGUAUAGCCUGAUGUUUAUAGUCUUGUGGUUGAAGAUCUUCCUGGGAAAUAGGGGUUUGCCUGCUUGCAUGAUAGGAGGAAAUUGCAUUUUAGCUUCCUAAUUACCACUCUUCUACUGUGUGAAAAAGGGAGAGGGAGGAUAAAUCUCUGUGGUCUCUUUUAGAAAGGCAGGAAAAACUAGAGAGGUCUUGAGCACACUGCCUGAGCAGCUUUCAGGUGACCAUGGCAGAGACACUGGGGAGAACACACUCCAGUCACUGAAUACUUUUAGGAUGCCGUGGUGGUGUCACUCUGAGCUUUACUUCAAGGUCACAGUGUGGUGCUCAUGAAGUUAAAGUAGAUGAUGUAUGAACUUGAUUAGAUAGGUUCAAGAUGAAACUAUGACUCUCGGCUGAAAUGAGAUCUCUUUUGGAUGUCUCCUUUGAGUUUUACUUGUGUACUGCUGAGUUUCUCAUAACAUGAGUCUUCCCAAGAUAUUUAGCAAAGAUAAGAGAGAAAGGUUUUGGGCCUUUUAUUGAUAUGAUGUUGAAAUAAUUUUCCUUCAUCCUGUAAACCAAAAUGCAUUUGCAGGUUGAGGAAACUGGUGGAACUGAACAGCUUUACAUUUCACCCACUUUCACUGAGGCUGGGAACAGCAGGCUCAAGGGCUUUGUUCAUUAUCUAAUUUGGGGCACUACAAAAAGGAAAACUUCACACAGGCUUUCCAGACCUCCCUCAUAACAUGGAAUUUUCUCUGUUGUGCCUUCAAACCCUAUGUCCUGUAUAAAAAGCACACAGGAGAUAAUUUUUUCCAUAUUUUCCUUGUUUGUCUCGUAUCUAUUCUUUCCCAGGCUGCAGCUAUGAGAACAUAAGCACUUACAGUGACGGAGAGAGGGAAAGAGGGUUUCAGCAUUUCUAUUUUAACUUAAAACCUAGCAUUUCUUAUUUUAACUUAAAGCCUAACAUCCUUAUGCAUCUACUUAACAUGUUUCACGCUGUCUGUACAUUACAGUUCAAAUGUGCAAGGAGACAAAAAAAAAAAAAAAGAAGAAAGAGGACCUCAUCUAUAAUCAGUAAAAUUUUCCAUCAGCCUCUCAGACCUCUUGUAACUUUAGCAAAGACUUUACUAGUGAUUCAUUGCUGGUGGUGUUUUUUUUUUUUGUGUGUUUGUUUUUUUUUUUUUUUUUUUUUUUGGUUUUUUUUUGUUUUGUUUUUUUUUUUUAACUCUGCUCUGAUGUAAACUGUUAUCUGAGGGACAGAAAGUCCGAGGUGUAUUCUUUCUUUGAGAUGUUGCAUUGAAGUAAGACCUCAGUUGUUCUUUUGCUCUUAUGGUAUCAGGGUGAAGCACAUGUCAUGAACUAGUGGCCCUUGGCAUUUUAAUGCUUAUCAUUUCUUGCUUCCUUAAGAAGGUAGGAUAGUUCAGUGUAUUGAAUAAACUGGGACUGGGUGGAGUAAGUGGGAACAUCUGCAUGUCUUAUGUUAUGACUCCCCUAGCAGUCAUCCUUAGUGCUGUAUGGUUCCAGAAAGUCUCUCAAGCAUAUAGAUGGUGGCGUUCCAACAAGCUGGAACCGCUGGCUGCAGCUGAUGUUUCAGCAAGUUACUUUAUCUGCAGCUGUCCUCAUCUGUUGCUAGAUGUAGGGAAGAAUAUCCUUAGAUUUUGUAUGCUGAAGGAGGGGCAGAAUUCCAAAUGAUUAAAAAAAAAAAAAAAAGAAAAAAAAUACAGAAAUCGAAAAAGCAAAAAAGAAUACAAAGAGAAGCUGAAGUCUGUGAAGAUACAAGGGAGUUUUAGAAGAGUUUAUGUCAGUGGUUACUUUUAAAUCCGUGGUAGGAUUACAUUAGCAGGAUGAGCUCCUCUAGUUCAGUCACUAUGAUAAAAUCCACUACUGUUAAGAAUGGAUUUAAAUGAUCAUACAAUCCCAGUAAUUAUCCCUAAUUCUUACAGAUAAAUCCAUAGUGAUAGUAUUUAUUAACAAAAUACAAAUAUGUAUUUAAAGUAAAAUUGUGCUAUCACCUUUCCUCAGAAAUAUGAACAUCUAUUGUAAUAGUUAACUUCAACUCGAUUUCUUUUUUGUGUGUGUAAUUUUAGUUUAUAUGCCAUGAAAAUACAUUGCCUCACAAGAUGAGAUAGCUCACAAGUUCCAGCAGCCAUAACAACAGCUGUAAAUUUGCUUGGUUUAUGGUUACUUUGCGGGUAGAUUCAUCUGACCAGAUAAGAAGUUUCUAACUGCACAAUCUUAUUUUGUUUUGAAAACUGAACACAAUAAUACAAAAGUGUUAGAGAGAGAUGUGUUAAAUUGCACAUCUCAGCAUCAUUUAGCUGCCAUUUCCCCUACUGUAAUUCUCACUCUACUCUCUUUGCCACCCUGGCUCAGUCCAGUGAAUGGUAUUUCCCCUCCCUAUUGUCCCUCUGCUUCUUCAUUCUCUCAGAUCUACCAUAACUGAAUAACAUUUCAUUCUGAAUUGAGCUUUCAAGAACAUUAUUCCUAGUUCAUAAAUGAAAGCUGAAUUAGUUGGAUUUAAAGUAAGAUCCUUGGGGUCUUAUUGGCUUUAAUUGAUUUGUGGGACAAGGUGAUUUUUAUGUUCAAUUGUAUCUUUACUGGCAAUGAGCUGUCUUCCUCCUUUCAUCAUUUAAUGCAUAAUGGAGAGAAAAGAAAGAGCAUUCCAUAUUUCUACUUGUCAGGUUGCAAACAGCUGUGAAGGUACAUGGACCAUUCAAGAGAAAUGCCUUUUACUCAGAGAUAUUGAAUGCUGAUAAAGAGCAGAAAUUCUGCAAAGAAAAAAGAAUCCCUAAGCAACAAGCCUUAAAGUCAGAAUUGAGAUUUACAAAGAGAUUUAGAUUUAGAAACUGAUAUCAUUGUGUGUCUUGAGGAUGGGGAUAGGCAUGAGGUAAAUUUUUCUGGGUUUUCCACUGCCAGUACUAGUCCUAAUCACACUGAGUCCAGAGAACUGAAAUUUGUCCUCUCUGUUAAGAACACCAUCACAAUUAGAAAUCUUGCUGUUAGUAAAAGUCACUACAAGAUCUAAGAAAUAAGCCUGCUUGGUCCACAUUUCUGUUUAUGAAGGAAGCUUUUCUAUGAAGGAAAAUUGCAUGUUAAACCAGCUGAAAUUAUUUUUUAAAAAAGCAGCGAAGUAUUCUCACGCUACAUAAAUUUUGCUUUAUAAUUAAACACAUUUUCUGCAAGUAGAUUUUCCUUGCCAGAGAGAGAGCUGAUAACUUACUAGAGAAAAAUUAAUUUAUAAUGGCCAAGAUUCAC